rnacentral:rRNA from 1 species
GGGGGAUAACGCUCGGAAACGGACGCUAAUACCGCAUACGUCCUACGGGAGAAAGCAGGGGACCUUCGGGCCUUGCGCUAUCAGAUGAGCCUAGGUCGGAUUAGCUAGUUGGUGAGGUAAUGGCUCACCAAGGCGACGAUCCGUAACUGGUCUGAGAGGAUGAUCAGUCACACUGGAACUGAGACACGGUCCAGACUCCUACGGGAGGCAGCAGUGGGGAAUAUUGGACAAUGGGCGAAAGCCUGAUCCAGCCAUGCCGCGUGUGUGAAGAAGGUCUUCGGAUUGUAAAGCACUUUAAGUUGGGAGGAAGGGCAGUAAAUUAAUACUUUGCUGUUUUGACGUUACCGACAGAAUAAGCACCGGCUAACUCUGUGCCAGCAGCCGCGGUAAUACAGAGGGUGCAAGCGUUAAUCGGAAUUACUGGGCGUAAAGCGCGCGUAGGUGGUUUGUUAAGUUGGAUGUGAAAUCCCCGGGCUCAACCUGGGAACUGCAUUCAAAACUGACAA